CACACACACACACACACACACACACACACACACAGAUUUACUUCAUUUCACAAUAACUAAACAAACAUUCUUCCAGAAAUUUGCAACACUGGUGGAGUCCAUGUCUUAAAACCUGCAAUCAUUGCUCUUUGUGCCUCGGGCAUGUCAAAGACCUCAACUUUGGAUCACACAAUGCCAAUACUCGUUUCUUUUUCAUACAGAAGAGUCAAUGUGUUGUGAGUUACUUGCUUUGUUUCACCACGUGUGAUAGGAGCAGACAUAAAAGGCUUUCAGAUGAUUGGCAUCUUCUCAUCUGGCGGAUCAGCGUUUCUCAAGCUUUACUGAGCCAAAGCACAUACUGUAUUAGAAAAAUCUCACCACACACCACCAAACAGAAACGGAGGAGAAACUGCAGUGAUACAGGCCAGAAUCUCAUAUAAGAUUGACCGUAUGGCGAAGGGUCAUGGUGCUCACACGCAGCUCCGGGAAAAGGCGAGGCAGAGGUGACCUGAUGUAUUCAGGGUUGGGCUUUUCAAAAACAUUACAACACAGCUGUCAUUCUCCAUCAUCUGACACAUAAUAAUGUUUAUGGUGAGUAAGGUUAGGUUUGGUACAAUUGUUUGUUGAGUAUGACUCACAAGAUUGUCAUUACUGGCUAAUCUGUGCCGAAAAAUCAAUGUUACUGAUGAGACAUUUUCUAGUAGGGCUGAAUCCAUUAUCUUCCAUCAAUUUGUAAGAUGUGUGUUCAUGGUGACACACUGAAAUUACAGUACCGCAUGUCUGUAUCAUUAACCUCACAUCAUGAACAUUAGUGAGUGUAUCAUGCCAGUCUACAGGUGGAAAACGUACGCAGGCAAGCACGCACAUACGCACAUCCAGUUACAGUCACUUACACAACUCCAAAGUCGCAUUUCAAAUUUUUUUUUCUGAUUUUUGUCCCAAAACCAGUUAUCAUCCAAUCAAUACUUUGUAGUUGGCUGAGUGUAAUUUGCACUAAAAAAUGCUGAUGGAAAUGAUGAACAAUGCAAUUUAAUGCAAAGUGAGUUAUUGUUUCAGCAUUUGUGUGUUUGCUAUUUUGACCUCAGGAAAUAUCUGACCAUUUCAAGCAUUUAAAUUAAUAAACAAACAAACAAAAAAAAUGCCAAUCAGUACAAUGUGCUGACACUGCAACAAAGUACAGUAAUAAUAACAACUAUUCUUACAUUAAUACGUCUCUAACGGUGAAUCAGUCAACAUUUAGCAUAAUUAACUUAUCUUUCUAUCAUUAUUUACCUUUUCUUUUUUUCCCCCAACUUGUUUACUUAUUCACCACUUCUAUCUGCUGGCUGGACAUAAAACACAAGUAUUAUAGCACACUAUUUCAUUUAUUUUCACAAAAGAGAGUCAGAUUUACACACAGUGUGUUUAAGAUUCAAAAUGCUGAAUAAUCUUUUGCUUGGUCAAGUUGUCAUCUCUCUCAUCUCUCAGCAUCAGUUCUCAUAACACCAGAGAAUUGUGAGCCUUUAAGCCACAUACACUAAAAAUAAGACAUUAGUGUUUGCACUAGGCCGCACCUGUCAAGCCGACUUCCAAAGACUAGUGCAGCCGACAUUUGCUGUGUCUGAUCCGCUGGCUUGUGCAGUUUGAAAGUGCAGAGAGGCCCUGCUCUGCAUAAGUCAUCAACUGAACCGCACCAAACCUGCCGUAGCCAAAUUCUUUCUACGAGGUCACGAGUGGCCUGAAAGUACACAUGAUGAUAUAUUCAGGGUUAUUUUACAUUUUCAUGACUGCUUUUGAGACAGUUGCAAAAAAAGGCCAACGUGGGAAAGUUUGUUGAGCCUGAUCACAGCCAUUAGCCGUAAGGUGAAACACUGACAUAAUCAUUUUUUCCUCAGUAGUUAUCUUAAUUUUUUAUGAAAUGUUAGUAUGGUAAACCAUAAAGUCGACCUUCUCAAUAGGUAUGCAUUAAAAUAAAAAAAAUCCAACCUCUGUAGCAGUUUUUUACCAAAGACAGUACAAAGUCUUCCGGUGCUUUAUUGACCACCACUGGGAUUACCAGGCCCUCAAGAACACUUUGGGGACAGUGUCCCCCACCACCACGCUAAUCCGAAUUUAGGACCUUGAAAAAAAAGGUUUGUUCUUGUUGUGGGGGGAAAAAAAUAGAA